AUGCAGAGGGACAAGCCAUGCACCAAAGGGCAAUGGAGCAGAGGUGUGAAGCAGGAUAUCGGCAUGGGAGCUAACUUGGGCAAGGUGCUGCAAACAGACUUGGAGGAGCAGAAGCUGGACACUGAUGAGCAGUCUGAGAAGAUGCCACGCAGGCCACCUUUGGAAUUGGAUGAGCAUUUGAAGUGAGCAAUGGGGGUGGGGGGAAGUGCAGUUAGAACUGGAUUUCUCAGCUACAAAAGCAAAGCUGCCAUGACACAAAGGUAAGAUGGUGCAUAGGAAUGCUGAGGAGAACUCACACAGCACACAAGAAAUGAAUGUCACACUAUUUUCUA